rnacentral:rRNA from 1 species
GACGAACGCUGGCGGCGUGCUUAACACAUGCAAGUCGAACGGUGACGAGGAGCUUGCUCCUCUGAUCAGUGGCGAACGGGUGAGUAACACGUGAGUAACCUGCCCCAGACUCUGGAAUAACAGUUGGAAACAGCUGCUAAUACCGGAUACGAGACGGAGAGGCAUCUCUACCGUCUGGAAAGUUUUUCGGUCUGGGAUGGACUCGCGGCCUAUCAGCUUGUUGGUGAGGUAAUGGCUCACCAAGGCGACGACGGGUAGCCGGUCUGAGAGGGCGACCGGCCACACUGGGACUGAGACACGGCCCAGACUCCUACGGGAGGCAGCAGUGGGGAAUAUUGCACAAUGGGCGAAAGCCUGAUGCAGCAACGCCGCGUGAGGGAUGACGGCCUUCGGGUUGUAAACCUCUUUCAGUAGGGAAGAAGCGAAAGUGACGGUACCUACAGAAGAAGCACCGGCUAACUACGUG